UACAGAGGUCCCAAGCGUUGUUCGGAUUCACUGGGCGUAAAGGGUGCGUAGGUGGCCGGUUAAGUCUGACGUGAAAUCUCCGAGCCUAACUCGGAAACUGCGUCGGAAACUAUCCGGCUCGAGGGUUGGAGGGGGGACUGGAAUACUUGGUGUAGCAGUGAAAUGCGUAGAUAUCAAGUGGAACACCAGUGGCGAAGGCGAGUCCCUGGACAACUCCUGACACUGAGGCACGAAAGCCAGGGGAGCAAACGGG
rnacentral:rRNA from 1 species